rnacentral:lncRNA from 1 species
UUUUUUUUUGUUGAUUAAUUUUCUCUACACACAUAUAUACAGGUUCACGGCUUACACAUAUAAAAGAUACUCCGUGCUAUGGAUUAAUUUGGUAAAUCUAUACUACUGUAAUUUCAACAGCUAAAUGAGUUCUUCAUAUGUAACCAAUAAUUUACAAGAAUAGUUGCUCUGGGCCAUCUUUUGUAGGAUUAUGUAUGAAGUGAUUAAUUCUGACAUAGAAAUCUAAGUGGAAACAUUUAAACUCAACUCUGUUUUGUAAGAUCUAGUUCUGAUUGUUCGGUCAGUCUCGAGAGUAAGUUUAGUUAGUAUAUUACUUACUAUUUAGUCCGUCUCAAGAUCUAUUUAGCUGCAGAGGAGAAGGGAUAUAUUACUUACUAUUUUUAUUUCCUCAAUUUACGUUUUGUAGGUAUUUGAUUGUAAUUGAUGGCAUGCAAACAGAAGAAUUGUGCAACAUAACAUCUGUAUUCCCUGUGGAUGACGGAGUGGACAGCAGAGUUAUUGUGACGACAACCAUUAAGAAAAUAGCAAGACGCUGCAGCUCUGCCAAUGGCCGUGUGUACAAAAUGAAAACACUUGAUGACAAUGAUUCAAGAAAGUUGUUCUUCGAAGUAUUUUCCAAGGGUAAGUAUUCCGUUGCUGAUGCAACGGAGUUGAAAGCAUCUGCCCUCCUAGAGAAAUGUGGCGGCCUACCGCUUGCCCUUGAAAGCAAAGCAAAGUUUCUGAAGAGUGAAGAAGACCUGACCAAGAGUAAAUGUGAAGAUGCCUGCCGCAAGCUUUGUGCUCCAGAAAGAUGUGAGGACACAUUGGGAAGAAUGCAUGGGGUUCUCGCCAGCAGCUACGAGAGUCUAUGUAGCCUUGUUCUCCAGCAGUGCUUGCUAUAUUUCUGCAUGUUCCCGCGUGGCCAUCGUGUCAGGCGGAAUCCUCUAAUCAGGCGGUGGCUGGCGGAAGGACUUGUACAUGUACAACCAGGGGAUGCAGUGAGCACCACACCCCAAGACAUCGCAAUUGAGAAUUUGGAGACCCUGAUCGACCGUAGUAUCAUUCAGUCCACGGAAGUGAGCACCUGUGGGAAUGUGAAGAGAUGCCAACCUCCUGGGAUGAUGCUCGAGUACAUUGUCCGCAAGUCCAUGUCUCAAAAUUUCAUCACCUUGCUUUGUGGUGAGAGUGAGACGGCCGGAGAAUGGGACUACGUUCGCCGACUUUCUCUCCAUGAUUACUGUGCUGAAAAACUGCCCAAGGGCUUAUCUCGUCUGCGGACCCUGGCGGUAUUCCCUACCGGGGAUGCUGCUAAACACGGACCUACAUUGAAUUUUGCCAAGUAUGACCUACUGCGAGUGUUGGAUUUAGAAGAAUGUGAUGGUCUGAAUGACGGGCACCUCCAGAACAUAUGCAACCUUGUGUUUCUGAAAUAUCUGAGCCUCGGGGGGCGCAUUAGUGAGGUUCCAAAGAAAAUUGCCAAGCUGCAAUGGUUGGAGACACUGGACCUGAGAAGAACCAAGAUAGAGAAGGUGCCCAUAGAAGUCAUCCAGCUCCCCCAAUUAAAACAUCUCCAUGGCAAAUUUCAGCUUAUCGAAGGUGACUGCGGAAAGAUAAAUUCAGAGUACUUGUCAAAGAGAAGUAUCUUGGAGACACUUUCAGGAUUUGUUACGGGAGAGAGCGAAGGAUUUCCACAGCUGAUGAGGCACAUGAAGCGGCUGAGGAAGGUGAAAAUAUGGUGCGAAUCCACCGCAAAUAGAAGAAACCUGGACCAACUUGAGGAAGCCAUCAAGAUGUUCAUUCGUGAUGGGAACGAAUGGCCUCAUCGUUCCCUAUGCAUUAACUUCCAAGAAUGCUCAGACCCAUUCUUGGGUUCUCUGAAAGCCCCUGGCAGUCUUGCCUCGCUGAAGCUGCGCGGCAACCUCAGCGGAUUCCCUCAGUUUGUUACCAAGCUGAACAGAAUCGAGGAGCUGUGUCUGUCGUCGACUAACCUAAGCCGAGGUGUUCUUCUAUCUGGGAGUCGUCUGGACACACUUAAGUAUCUGAAGCUGAUCGAAGACAACAUCGGGCCUCUCGAAAUACGCCACGAGCACUUCCCAAGCAUCCGGCGCAUAUGGCUCGUCGGCGUGAAAAGUCUGCACUCUGUAACGACCGGAGCUCUGCCACAUCUUACUUCGCUUCAUAUGAUCUGUGAAUCUUUAGAUGGUCUUGCUGGCAUCGAAAUCGGACGCCUAGAAGGAUUAAAGGAAGUCAGGCUGCAUUCUGCAGUCGACCAAGGAACAAAAGAUGCAUGGAAGGAAGCUGCAAGGAGCCACCCUAAAAGGCCUGACGUUCUUCUUCACUGACUACUGUUCUGUGCUGGGUCGAUGUAUCUCUUCAAAGUUAUGUAGAUUACUUGGUUACAAUUGUUGGUUUUAGGACAGAGAUAGUCAUUUCUAUUGCUGCUUUUUAUUCUUACUACACAAUCAUCUGUGUGUGGCAACGGGAGCAUAGUAUUUUAAUAGAUUAGCCCGUGAUUUACGUUAUCCAUAUGAAUGUGAUUGUGUAAAUAAAGUAUUUUAUUUGGUAAGCAUUCAUUGACUUACCAAAGAAAACAUAAGGGCAGUGCCAUGUGUCAUCGAGUGAUAAUGUAAAAAGAUUGACCGUCUCGCCCGCUGUUGGAUGGAGCCCCGAAUAGCCGCCUGAUCUCUCCCAUGUGAGCGUGGGUCUUUGCAACAAGGCUUUUUUUAAGGGAGUCUUUGCAACAAGGCUAGUGUUACGGUCGGCCCUAUGCAACCGGAGCCUUGUUGCAAUCUUCCGGGGCCGCUUUUUUUCCUUCUAAAACAAGGCCUUUGUUGCAGUCACAACAAAGUCUGCAAUAAAAUCCCAUGAUUUAUUUGUUUUCUCCUUGUCCUUUUAUCCCUUGAAACAAAGCCUCUUUUCCAAUCGCAGCAAAAUCCCAUCAAUUUGUUGACAAGGGAAACACUAGUGUUCCUACCAUCUAACCCUUUGAUUUGAGGAAGGUUUCUAUUGAAAUUGGCGGCCUACAGCGAGUGAAAAGGGGUGUGUGGAUUGGUUCCUGAUAAGAUGGACCUUUCUCUGCUCCUCUUGUUACCAAACGGAGCCAUCAAACAGGGAAGAUGAGGGGGAAUGAGGCCAUGUUUGUUUGGGUUUUUACUUCUGCUUUUUAGUUUUUCCAUUUUGACAAAAGGCCAAAAAAAACUCUUAAAUAUGUGCUUCGGCUUUCCGGCAUUGCCCCCUCGUCCCAUUCCGGCUUGGCUCUUUGGUAGGUGUUGCAGAUGUCUUGCUCUUGGUCAUCAAGCGGCUGAUUGCAGAGAUCCCUUGAGGUGCUUCCGCUGUUUGGAGAACGGCCACUGGGCGCGUGGGUGUCGCAAUGCUUGGCAUCCAUUCAGCUCACUUGCAUGCCUUGCCAUGCCGCCACGGUCUCGCCUCGACACCGAGCAUUGCCGAGCUCCAGCUCCUUGUGAUGGCCCGAUGGAAUCCCAGCUCCCCUCCAAGGCGCUUCACCGCAGGUCCUGGGCAUCGGCCGUUUCCGCUCAUGCUGAGUCGGCAACCCCAUCUGAUGUACUGCUCCAGUCCACUCUAGCAGCCCAGGCUGAGCUCCUGGUGCGUGUUGGGAGCUUUCUGGAGCGAGCGGAGGCUGCUCUGGAAAAGCUCUCUCUUGUGCCGGCUGUGUUGCAAUCCGCUCCUACGCCACAUCCUCCUAGUGAGGUUGAUGUUGGUGGCUCAGUGGAGAAUAGGGUUGCGGAGCUCUAUGGUUGUUUCUCCCCUAGAGCUAUGGACAACUCAUCAUCGCCGUCUGCCUUGGCCACUUUGAUGUCUACCGCUAAGGGCGGGACCAUUGCCGUGGUUGUGCCUCCAGUGCUGCAGGUGAUGCCCGAGCUUCAAGUGUUAUGUGCGAGCUCUGAUUCACCUCUAUCAGUGGAGAAUAUGAUGGUGGAGACGCAGGCAACCACGUGCGAGGGGCAUGAUUCAACCUUGACAUGUGAGCUGAGUGAGGUGAACUCGCCUGCGCGCUCACAUGUGGCUUCUACUCCCAGUCCACCCCCGCCGACGGAUAAUUCCAAUGCUCUCUUUGCAAAAGAGCUUUGUGACUUGCUCGCUAGCGUGGAGACUGUUAGCCCUGGAACUGGAAGGGCGAUUGCUUGCCUCCUGACGGGAACGACAUUCAAGGGCAAAUACAAGAAGGCGAGUGAUUGCCCUCGGACCGGUAUAGUGAUGGAGAAGCCACUAAGGUGCAAAGGCAAGAAGAGUGGCGCCAUAGGUAAGGCGCCCGCAGCUGCUUAAUGGAUGAUUCCCGGUCCCUUGGUUCAUACUCACAGUUUGGGGUCGUCAUUGUGAUUUCAGCGUGGUCCACUAUCUUUUGUUGGGAUGUUCUUGUCGGAUUCAAAAUUGUGGUGUACAAGUGUGAGGAGUUAUUGUGUGUUAGGAGGGGUUGGCGGGUUGCACGUGUGCUCAUGGGGUCAUGAUUGGUGAGUAACCCAAUUAUGGUCUGAUUGUAUCGGUUUUAGCCCGAUUUUCCUUGGAUUAACCGGGCAAUUUUCUUCUUCUUAAUUAAUCGAUGAGGCAAUUCUUUUGCCUCUGUUUCAAAAAAAUAAAAUAAAGAUAUUGAUUCAUAAGCCAAAAGCCGAAGCAAAAAGUCCAUAUUUAGGAGUUUUUGUGCUUUUUUUUAAAAGUGAAAAAGAUGCAAAAGCAGAAGCAAAAAACCAAAAAAUAGGACAUGAGGCAACGACAUGUAUGGAAGUUGUGCCGGCGGGUAGAGUUGGGAGGGCGACCUGUAUGGAAGUUGUGCCGGCGGGUAGAGUUGGGAAUAUAGCUGGCCAUAAAUUGGGUCAGGCCUAAUAAAGCCCGUAGCAGAAAACCUAGGCCUGGGCCUAGAUUUCAGCCCCAGGCCCGAUCCAUCAGAGGAAAAGCCCGUCGGGCCUCAGGCCGGGCCUCUUCCCUAAAACGCAAAUAUGCCAAGCUCAAGCCCGACCCAUGGGCAAGACUGGGCUGACCGGGCCGGGCCUAAUAAAGCCCGUAGCAUAAAACUUAGGUCCGGGCCUAGAUUUCAUGCCCAGACCUAUCCCUUCAAAGAAAAAGCCCGUCGGGCCUCGGGCUAGGCCUAAAAUGCAAAUAUGACAAGCCCAAGCCCGGCCCAACCCAGCCUUUGGGUUCAGAUUUCAGGCCCAGGCCCGGCCCAUGGGCAAGACCGGGCCGGGUUUUCCAUGGCCAGGUAUAGUAGGGAGUCACUGCUCUGAAUUUUUAUAUGGUGGAGAUGCUCUUAGGGGUCGUAAUCUGAACCGUGAGACAGGUUAGGGGUAACAUUGACUUCUCUCUUGGGUUCUUCUUCUUCCAUGAGUCCCGUUCACCACACCUGUGCUGCCAUGGCGUAGCUCCACCUCGUGCUCCUCAAUCGGAAUCUCUUGGUGCAGGUAAUUCCGCCCUCUUUUUAUUCUGCUGCUGCUUCGCUUCUCACCCAUGACUACCACAGCUGUCUUGUUCUUGCUUCAGCUACAGGCGGGGAUCGAUGUUCCGAUUUAUCAGUGCUUGGCUACAGGUGGUGCUCCGGUAUAUCGCCGCAUGGCUUCAGGCGGCGGCGGCCGCGGCGGCGGCAGCGGCGGAUAAACUGGAUGCUGCGUCGCUCUCGCUUCAGGGGACGGCGGCCAUGGAUUUUCCUGCUACUGUUUCGCUUGGCCCCCUCCACCGGCAGCUCCAUUCAUUCAGGGCUGCCACGAACAAUCUCCCCGACGGGGUUAGCGAUGGCGAGGUCCGGCGCCUCGAAGAAGAUCUGGAGACACUGUUCACCGAGCUCAAGAUCGUGUCGGAGGCGGACGACCCCAGCUUCACGGCCAGGUGCUGGAUGAAGGAGGUGCGGGAGCUCCGCUACGACGCAGAGGACUUCUUCAACGAGGUCCCGCGCUCCUCCGCCGGCGCCGGCAGAAGCGCUCUUCACACCCUCAUUCUUUCGAUCCCCAGAAAACUGAAGCUUCGGCGCCAGGUUGCAGAAGCUUUCUCAGAUCUGUGUGCUCGUGCCAAGGAUGCGAGUCAAAGACGCCAAAGUUUCCAGCUUGGACCAGCAACCAUCAGACCUGAAUCUGGACAAGUCAAUGUCAGCCGCUCCAAGAGCCUCGGACUUAUUGGCCUUGAGGAGUCCAUGGAUAAGCUUGUCAAACUGAUGGCUUUAGACGACCAAGAGAUUGCAGAGCUGCUGGCUUUUGACAGUGAAGAUACAGAGCAACUAGUUCAGGUGGUACCUAUCUUUGGAUCUGCAGGUGUUGGCAAAACAACACUUGCCAGAACCUUCUACCGUAACUUCGGGGGGAAAUUCCAGUGCCGGGCUUUCGUGCGGGUGUCUCGAAAUCCAGAUAUGAGGAGGAUGCUUUCCAGCAUGCUCUCACAAAUUAAGGCACCGCCGGUUCAUGGCUUUCCUGAUGUGCAGGACCUUAUUGACCAUAUCAGAGGAUAUCUGCAAUGCAAAAGGUACAUAUUCUAUUAGUACUGAAUACUCCUGAUGUGCAUAAGUACCUUUCAACAAUAUGUACAUUUCAGUUUGUGCAUCAGGGUUGUUAUGCUCAAUCCUGAUGUACACGAUCAAGUGUGCUUUCACCACCGGUCCAUCAGGAAUAUGUACAUGUACCUUUUGCAUUGUUGAAUAUGUACAUUUAGGAAUAUGUGCAGGACCUUAUUGACCAUCCCAGAGAAUAUCUGCAAUGCAAAAGGUAUAUUAACAAUAGAGAAUAUCUGGAAUGCAAAAGGUACAUGUACAUGUCUUUUAACUGGACAAACGGUGCAUUGUUGAAAAACAAUGAUAAAUGUUUGAGCAAAUAAGCACUACUGUAUAUCUUAAGAGGCUAUUUGGGUUGGAUUUAGGAAAAAUAAACCUUUUCAAUUUUCUAUUCUUCAUGAAUUUUGAUUGCAGGAAGUUGAUGAAUUGGGAAAAGUAAACCAUUAUUUUUGGAUUCCUUAUCACACAUGUACAUGUACCAAUCUAGAGCCCAGGGGAAUAGACAAAGUUGCCUCUUAUGUAAUCUUAAGAGCAUAAGUUUUUUUUCAAUACUUUUUUUCCGGUGUAGCAAAUUACUUGUUUCGAUUGUUUACUUCACUGCCUGAUUGAUCUUCCUUUGGCUAUACCAAUUUCCUUAGGAUAUAGUAUUUCUUACUUUAAGAUUACUAACAAUAAUACCAAUUUCCUUUUAAUUUGUGGUUAAUUUAUUUAUUUUAUUUUGGCUAUACUUCUUUCUUUCUUUUUUGUCAGCUUGACAAACAUAUUUAUUGUGAAUAAAAUAUUCUGCAGAUACUUGAUUGUAAUUGAUGACUUAUGGGCCUCCUCGACAUGGGAUAUUAUUAGCCGUGCUUUCCCUGAUGGUGAUUGUUGCUGCAGAAUAAUAGUAACCACGGAAAUCAAGGAUGUAGCAUUGGCAUGCAGUAGGUAUCAGUUUAAGUACAUGUAUGAGAUGAGUCCUCUUAACGGUGAUCAGUCAAGACAGUUAUUCCUCGGUAGAGUUUUUGGGUCUGAAAAUGGUUGUCCUCCAGAUUUCAAAGAAGUUACAUAUGAGAUUAUCCGAAAAUGUGGAGGUUUACCAUUAGCAACUGAAAAUAUAGCCAGCAUGUUAGCAUGUGAAUUAAACAUUGAUCAAUGGAAGCACAUACGAGAUUCUUUACCCUCUGUUUUGAGAUUGAGGACAGACCCUAGUUCGGAAGGGUUGAAAGAAGUUCUGAACAUUAUUUAUGAUAAUCUUUCACCAUAUUUGAAGACAUGCUUGCUAUAUCUUAUUAUGUAUCCAGAGGGAAGCACUAUCAGCAAGGACGAAUUAGUGACGCAAUGGAUAACUGAAGAUUUUAUCGGCGAAGGGCAAGACAGGGAGAAAAUUGCACGGCAUUAUUUUGAUGAGCUUGUGAGUAGAGGAAUGAUCCAACCUCUUGACAGAAAUUAUAACGAUGAGGUGUUGACAUGUACAGUUCACCACAUGGUACUAGAUCUUAUUAGGUACAAAUCUCUGGAGGAGAAUUUCAUCAUUAUUGUGAGUUGUUUUCAAACAAUUACAGGUCUUCCUGACAAGGUUCGUCGACUGUCUGUCCAGUUCGGUGGUGCAAAAUGUGCUAAUAUACCGGCAGACUUUAUGAUGACUCAAGUUAGAUCGCUUAUAUUUUUUGGCUUCUUGAACUGUGUGCCUUCCUUUGUGGAAUAUAAGCUGCUUCGAGUUCUGAUUCUUCAUAUCUGGGCUGAUCAAAGCAAAAUAUUUGACCUCACUAGAAUUAGCAAACUGUUUCAGCUGAGGUAUCUGAAAAUUGAUUGCAACAUCACUGUCCAUUUGCCAGACGAGAUUCAGCAGCUACGAUUCUUGGAGACAUUGGAAUUGCAUGCACCAGUAAGUGAUAUGCCAUCGGAUAUUAGUUGCUUGCCCUUACUUCACACGCUGGGCUAUUUUGAUCUCGGCAAGAACUCAAUAGAGAAUGUACAGAGCCUUGGCGAGCUGAACAAUCUCCAAGACCUUCAUCUCACCUGGUCUAACAUAUCAGACCCUGACAAUCUGAAGAACAAUAUGCAAUGCCUGGGCUCAAUUCUCCGGAAACUCGGCAACCUCAAGUCUUUAACUUUAGUACGUGCAGCCUCCUCUCAUGCAGAUGUAACUCUAAUACGUGCAGCCUCCUCUCAUCCAGAUGUUUUAGACGAUGCUGGUGGUGCAAUCUUGGGUAUUUCUGGCGAUGUCUUGAGCAGCGUGUCCUCUCCCCCGCCCCUUCUUCAGAGGCUUGAGCUGUCAGGGCGCUGUUGCAUCUUUGCCAGCCUACCUGAGUGGACCAAAGAACUUGGCAAUCUCUGCAUUUUGAAGAUUUCAGUUAGGAAGUUGUUGAGGAAAGAUAUUGAUAUCCUCAAAGGAUUGCCAGCUCUCAUGGCUCUCUCGCUGUACGUUUGGACUGCCCCUGUAGGAAAGGUCGUCUUUGAUAGUGAGGGGUUCUCAAUUCUCAAAUACUUCAAGUUUACAUGUGCUGCCCCAUGCCUGGCAUUUCUGAUAGGAUCAAUGCCUAGCGUCCGGGAGCUUAAGCUAGCAUUCAAUGCUAAUAGAAUGGAGCAAUACAGCCAGAUAGUUGCUGGCUUAGAGUACCUGAUAGAACUUAAAGAGAUAACUGCAAAAGUUGGGGGCACUGGUGCGGAUGAAUCUGAUAAAAGGUACGCGGAGUCGGCAUUGAGGGGCGCCAUUGCCAAUCAUCCAUGCGCUCCUAUAAUCACAGUACAAUGUGUAGAUCGGAUUUUGUAUGGUGAGGACGAUAUGAGUGCCGUCACACAAGAACAAGAACACUGGACUCUGGAAGAAGAACAUGAGAUACAAGAGGAAUCACUUGAUCCUCUUCCUGAACUUAUUCCCAUUCCAAGCACACAAACACAAAUGAGAGAUGGAAGCCAGAAUGGUGGAACAGAUAGCUCAAGGGAGGUGCUGACACAAACAAGAGAGGAAGUUCAGGAUGAAUUAAUAGAAAGAUCGAUGGAGGUCCUGACACAUGAACGGGAACACUUAACUCUGGAAAGACAACACGAGAUUCAUGAGGAAUUGCUUGAUCCUCUUCCUGAAGUUGUUUCCACUUCAAGCACACAGACACAAGUGAGAGAGGAAGUGCGGGAUGGAGAAAUAGGGAGAUCGAUGGAGGUGCUGACACAAGAGCAAGAACAGUGUAUCGUGGAACAACAAGAUGAAAUGACAGACGGAGUGCUGGAUGUACAAAUAGGGACAUUGAUGGAGGUGUUAGCACAAGAAGAGCAAUGGCGGAAUAAUAUGCAGAAUAGUGGAAUCGGGAGAUCGAUGGCGGUGGUGAGCGCUUCCCAUGGCACCUUGGAUCCCCUACUGGACAAGCUCAAUGCUUUGCUCAGCGAGGAGUAUGGCAACUUGGAAGGUGUCCUCCAUGAAGUCAGUGCCCUCAAAUCUGAGCUGACAUUAAUGCAUACGGCGGUAAGAAAGUACACGAUGCUAGAAGAUCCAGAUGUCCAGGUGAAGUUAUGGCUAUCGUUGCUGAGGGAGUUUUCCUAUGAUGCAGAGGAUUACAUUGAUAAGUUCAUUCACCAGCUCGACAAUGGCGGACAUCAUGGCGGAUUCAAGCAGAUCUUCGGCAAGACUGCUUGCCAGCUGAAGACGCUUGGAUCUCAGCAUGAAAUUGCAGAAAAAAUCGAUGAGCUGAAAGAUCGUGCCAAGAACUUGAAAGCGAGUAGUUACAAGAUGGAUGAUACUGCUUGCAUCACAUCUUGCCAUUCCACCGUGGAUCCCCAGUUGGCUGCUCUUUUUGUUGAUUCUGCACACCUUGUGGGCAUUGACAGUCCAAGAGAUGAUCUUGCCAAGUGGACGGUCGAAGUAGGAAACAGCUCGGCCAAGCAUCAUUGCAGGAUGUUAUCUAUUGUUGGGUUUGGUGGAUUGGGAAAGACAACACUAGCGAAUGAGGUGUAUCGCAAGGCUAAAGGGCAUUUCCAUUGUCAGGCUUUUGUAUCAGUCUCACAAAAGCCAGAUAUAAAGAAAAUUCUCAUGAACUUGAUCUCCCAAGUGUCUCCCCAUGGAUUCACGAAAGAUACUUACAAUUGGGACAAAAUGAGAUUCAUUAGAGAGCUAAGAAAACUGCUAAAGGAUAAGAGGUAAUUUCAGCCCACAUUCUUUCCUGCAAAACAUGUAUCAUCUCAUGCGUAUUCUCAUUGAUUUUGACUGUAGUUACUGCUUGUACAAUUGUUUUUCUCAACGAACACCACUACGAUUCUAGCAUUACUUUAGUUUUUUACAUCAUGGCCUAUGCAGUACUAUAAUGUCCAAAUGAUGAGUACAAUAUUGUAUACACCUUGGUCCUGAAUUACCCUUCUGAAAUAUGGCUAAAAACGUCCAAUGCAGGAAACUUCUGUCAUAUGAAAGUAUGCAUAGCCAAAUAGCCAAUAACUAUUCCUUAUGUUCUCGUCUUAUCGAUAAUAUUGCCUUGAUUACUGUGCACUUAUAAUCGGAGGUAAAAAGAAAAAAACAUCAAGAAAUCGGUGUUAGUUAGAAGCACUAAACAGAUAUGCAAAAUGACUAACUGAACUAAAUUCCAAGACUUGGUAUGAGGAAGAUUAGAGGUGAGUUGUAGUAAGUAUAUUGCCCACCAUUACGUAUCAUCUUUGGCUCCUGAGUGGAUGCAACUUAAUAGUAACAAUCUGAUAACUACCCAUCCUUAUCAAACAAAUAUUAGUUGUUAAAUGAUGCUGUGAACUUCAGUUAAGUGGAUGCAAUACUGAUGUACGCAUAAAAUUGGAUAUGGAAAUAUAAGGAACAGUGGAACAAUAGCAUGAUGCACUUAAUACCCUCCGUUCCAAAUUAGAUGACCCAACUUUGUACUAACUUUGUACUCCCUCCAUUUUUGUAUACAUGGCCACUAUCAAAAUUACAAUUUGCAACUAUACAAGGCCACUAACAUUAAUCGAGGCAAAAUUAAUGGUGUUUGCCUCGUACUAGCACCCGGGGACAUUAAUAUCAUUUGCGUGCAUGCGGGAGUGAGAAGGUUGGCUUGCAUUCCCAACAUUAAUCAACCAAUGAGGAGUAAGAGGGUUAUCUUGUUGUGCGUGGUAGAGAAAAGCCUCAUUAAUUAACACGACAAACAAGCUGACAACCUAGCUUGCAACAUUGACUUAAACAUUGCAUUGAUUUUUACCUUGGUACCUGUAAUAUGGGUUUGUGGCCUUGUAUACAAAAAUAGAGGGAGUACUAAAGUUAGUACAAAGUUGAGUCAUCUAUUUUGGAACGGAGGGAGUAUUUGAGUACCCAUUGGAGUUUUAUGGAUUUUUUACCUUUUCUAUCUGAAUUACUUAGCAUAAUAAUUGAAUCUGUUUUCUAAUACUAGGUAUCUUGUUGUCAUUGAUGAUAUAUGGUCCAUAUCGGCAUGGAACAUUAUCAAGUGUGCUUUUCCAGAGAAUAACUGUUCUAGCAGAGUUAUAACUACUACACGCAUUAUUGAAGUUGCAAGGUCAUGUUGUAUGGGUCAAGAUGACCGCAUGUAUGAAAUGCAACCCUUAAGUGAUUUUCAUUCUAAAAGAUUGUUCUUGAGAAGAAUUUUUGGGUCCAAGGAUAGUCCCGAUAUGCUGAAAGAAGUUUCAAAUGAAAUUUUGAAAAAAUGUGGAGGCCUGCCGUUGGCAAUUAUCAGUGUAUCUAGUUUAUUGGCAAAUAGGCCAGCUAACAAAGAGGAGUGGGAAAAAGUUUGUGCAUUGGACAAAGACAUAGGUCUAGAGGAAAUGAACAGAAUACUAUGCCUUAGCUACAAUGCUCUUCCAGAUAAUCUCAAGACUUGUUUGUUGUAUUUAAGUAAUUUUCCUGAGGGCUGUGUGAUUGAGAGAGAGAGAUUAGUGAGGCGGUGGAUAGCAGAAGGCUUUAUCUCUGAAAAUCAUGGGCAGAGUCAGCAAGAGGUCGCAGAGUGGUAUUUCUAUGAGUUUAUCAAUAGAAGUAUGAUUCAAGCAGUGGACAUCCGCUAUGAUGGUAAGGCUCGUGCAUGUCGAGUCCAUAACAUGAUGCUUGAACUCAUCAUUUCAAAGUCAGCUGAGGAUAAUUUUGUCAUGGUGAUUCGUAGCAGGCAGACUGGUUUGGUAAAUCGCCAUGGUUGUAUUCGACGGCUAUCAGUCCAGCACAUUGACCAGAAUCUUGCAUCUGUAUUGGCAAAUGAAGAUCUAAGCCAUGUUCGCUCUUUAACAGUAACAUCAUCAAGUUGCAUCGAACACUUGCCUAGUCUUGCUUGCUUUGAAAAUUUGCGUGUACUAGAUUUUGAAGGGUGUGAUGGAUUGGAAAAGUAUCACAUGAAGGGUCUUGGCAAGUUUUUCCAACUAAAGUACCUGAGCCUUAGGGGCACUUGGAUAUCACAUCUACCAUCAGAAGUUGUGAUGUUACAUAAUCUAGAGACCCUAGAUAUUAGGGAGACACAUGUAGAAGAGUUGCCUGCUGAAAUUGUCCACCUUACGAAGCUACAACAUCUUAUCGCUUCAACAGAUUAUGUAAUGCCUGGAAUAAAGAUACCAGAUGGAAUCGGGAAUAUGAGGAACUUACAGGUAUUGUUGGGCUGUGGUAUCAGCUCGGGUUCUGUUGGUGCACUAGAGGAACUCGGUAACUUGACCAAUUUGAAUGAGCUCGAUGUACAGUAUUGGGGAAUAGGAUCCGAGUACAAGUGGCAUGAAGACAGGUUCCUCUCCUCAUUAAUCAAGCUUGGUAGCUGCAAGCUACAGUCUUUUAGGAUAUGGAGGAAGUGCCCUGGUGAUGUCAAGUUCUUAGAAUCAUGGUUCCCUCUGCCAUUUUCCCUCCAAAGAUUUGAGAUGAGCGGCUGCUACAGUUUCAAGUGGAUUCCAUGCUGGAUUUCACCAGCACUGACCAGUCUUGCAUACCUAGAAAUUAAUAUAGUGGAAGUAACGCAGACGGAUCUGUGCAUACUUGGAGAGAUGCCUGCCUUGCUUCACCUGAGGCUAACAUGCCGGACUUUCAGAAAAGAAAGGCUUAUUUUUUACGGCAGAGGAUUCCAGCAUUUGAAGGAAUUUGUUUACGAUGCUGCUGUAUUGCCAUCGGGAAACCUUCUGUUUAUGGAAGGGGCACUGCCAAUGCUCGAGGAUCUUAGCCUAAUCUACUGUGUAUCAAUGGUUAAUGCUUAUGGGUUUUUCUUGGGUAUCGAGCACCUCCCAAGACUGAAAAAUGCACAAAUUCACCUCUACAAACAGGGCGCGGCAUCUUCUGAUAUCGCUUCCGCAGAAGUUACUAUCAGGAAUGAAGCAGAUGACAAUCCCAACUGUCCCAGAGUAACUCUGGUAGAACAUGUAAAGAGGGAGGAUUAUUGCUCUGACGGCUGUCCUAACAGAACCGUGACAGAUCAAGGACUAGAUGCCAAUACAACUAACCAGAAGGUAUUGAUCAUUUUUUUUACCAAGUUUUAGUGGUUCAUGGUUACAACAAUCACUCCUUUGCUUUGACUGUUAUGCAUUUUAUCCAUUUUUUUGACUUUUUGACCCCAUAUUGCAGGGUGGAUCUCGAAAGGCAACAAAUCAAACUUCAAAUCGUUGAGAAACCUAUUUCUCAGCCGCGUGCCUUACCCUUUUUAGGGAACUUGUUAAAUUCAUGAAGAACUACAGGUGAGAUCUGGCAAGCUGCUGCUCGCUCGACUGGAACGCUCGAACAAAGCCUGGAAUGAAGCAGAUGCCCAUCCCAACCGUCCCGGAGCAACUCUGGUAGAACAUGCCAAGAGAGAGGAUAUUGCUCUGGCUAAUGAAUGUUCUAACGCAACUGUGACAGAGUUCCGCUGACAAAUCCAGAAUUAGUUGCCAAUACAACAGCUAAGCAAAAGGUAUUGAUCAAUUCUUUUACCAAGUUUUAGUGGCUCAUGGUCCCGACAAUCACUCCAGUGCUGUCUCUGUUGUGCAUUUUAUCCAUAUCACUGAGACGCCUAUUUCUCAGCCGUGUGUCUCCUACCCUUUUUAGGAACUUAAAUUCAUGAAGUACACUACUAGUGAGAGCUGGCGCGCUGCUGCCCGCUCAACUGGAACGCUGUGGUGAAGCCUAGAACGCUCGAGCAAAGGGGCCAGCCCCAGUUGGAGGGGUCAUAAAUGCUAUUCCCUCUGUCCCAUAAGUGUCAAAAAACGUCUUACAUUAUGGGACGGAGCGAGUAUUUUCUAUGUGAUACUAUGAGAAUUUUGUUGUUGUUGAACUCUGUAUGCGAUUGUUUUAACUGAUUAAGAAUUAAGCUUGCCUCUUGGGCUGGAGCCUUGGUCUUAUUUACUGGAGUAUUCUCUUUUGUGUGUGUUGUAAGUUUACCCGGUGACUUUUAUCAACCGAAGAGAUGGAAAUGUACAGGAGAUGCAGGCUCUUCAUGGACCCUGUAUGCAUGCUUCUUUACAUCCCCUCUUGUGGCAUUUGCAACAAGGCAGGCUGGCCAUCUGAAAUUUACAAUAUUCUCUGGUGCACUUUUACAAUAUGAAUUGUCGUCCAACUGUUUAAAAGCAUGGGAUUGCAAAAGGCUCUGAAUGUUGGCCCUGUGUAUUGAAAACUCUGUAGAGGCCAGCUAUCGCACGGUUGGUUUAUAAGGUGUAAUACGUAUUUCGUGAUUUACUUCAUGAGUUAGACCAGAGAUAUGUUUUUCUUCUAUAAACUUGGUCAAACUUUACAGAAGCCGACUUAGAACAAAGCUAACACGUCUUGAUUUCAGACAUGAGGAACUAGAUGAUCGGGUUCACAGAAAUGAAACAGAUAGACAACGCCAUCAUUUACGGCAAACAUCACUUACACAGAAAUGAACAUGAUAAUUACUUGCACAGAAAUGAACAUGAUAAUUUUCUGGACAUAAUGUCAAGGCUCUGCUCUUGCUCAGGCUGCAGGAAAUCCCCAGUCUAGAUGCUACAGUUGAUUUGAUGUAUUGAAAAGAUAUGAACAUCUAAAAUACCUAAAUAAAUACUCCCUCGGUAAACUAAUAUAGGACGUUUUAGAGACUUGUGUAGGGAGUACAUACACUAGGGAAACACGGUUGAAGAUUUAUCAGCUGACGUUAAUUUGGUAUGGUAUUUUCUCGCUAAACUUUGGUCAGAGUUCACAAGGUUUGGCUCAGAAGUCAGAACAAAACUGACAUGUCAUGGAACGGACGGAGUAGAUAGUUACAUUCACAAAAAUGAACCUAGUAAACAAAUCAUUUACGGUGAACAACGCCCCCCCUCUUCACAAACUAGACAAAAAAGACAUCAGUUUGAGCAUGGCUACAAACUUGCAGCAGCAGCAUAGAAACCCAGCGGCCAGCUGUCGACUCAGUUUGCGCUACAGAUAUAUAGCUAAAAUUUAUCCACAACAAAUAAAAAAACAAAAUGGAGACCAACAUGCCACAUGACAACGCAUGACCGAAAUAAUGAGGGAAAAGGCUAGAUGCAUAUCCAUCUAGGGUUGCUGCAGGUAUAGCAAACUAGCCAUAUCAUAUUUGUCGCAGAUUUAAUCAAAUGCAUUAUUAUUUAGUUCUCUUCACAUGAAGAGGAUGACCAAAGCCUAUCAGGAUACAAAACUAGGAGGAUCACCAUCUAGAAUUUUUUUUGAAACCGUAGAAACCAAUGAAUCUCUGCAUAUCAGAAGAAAAACGAGCCUCUUCUGAAGAUAGACAUAACAGGGGAACUCAGUUUCAUUCCGGAACAAGAUUGCUCUAGAAAGAAAAGCUGGCCAUUGACUCUAGCUAGCAAAGAUCGGAUCACAAAACGAUAGAAGCUUCCACCAGAGUUUGUCUUUAGUCACAAUGCUCAUGAUCUCACUCCAGCAUCUUACU